rnacentral:rRNA from 1 species
GUACGGGGGAGCAAGCGUUGUUCGGAUUUACUGGGCGUAAAGGGCGCGUAGGCGGUCGUGACAAGUCACUUGUGAAAUCUCCGGGCUUAACUCGGAACGGUCAAGUGAUACUGUCGGACUAGAGUACAGAAGGGGCAACUGGAAUUCUCGGUGUAGCGGUGAAAUGCGUAGAUAUCGAGAGGAACACCUGCGGCGAAGGCGGGUUGCUGGGCUGAUACUGACGCUGAGGCGCGAAAGCCAGGGGAGCGAACGGG